UAGGGAAUCUUCGGCAAUGGGGGGAACCCUGACCGAGCAACGCCGCGUGCGUGAAGAAGGUUUUCGGAUCGUAAAGCUCUGUUGUUAAGGAAGAACGAGUGUGAGAAUGGAAAGUUCAUGCUGUGACGGUACUUAACCAGAAAGGGACGGCUAACUACGUGCCAGCAGCCGCGGUAAUACGUAGGUCCCGAGCGUUGUCCGGAUUUAUUGGGCGUAAAGCGAGCGCAGGCGGUUAGAAAAGUCUGAAGUGAAAGGCAGUGGCUCAACCAUGGUAGGGUUUGGGAACUGUUUAACUUGAGUGCAGGAGGGGAGGGUGGAAUUCCAGGUGUGGCGGUGAAAUGCGUAGAUAUAAGAAGGAACACCGGUGGCGAAAGCGGCUCUCUGGUCUGUAACUGACGCUGAGGCUCGAAAGCGUGGGGAGCGAACAGG
rnacentral:rRNA from 1 species